rnacentral:rRNA from 1 species
CCUACGGGUGGCAGCAGUGAGGAAUAUUGGUCAAUGGCCGGAAGGCUGAACCAGCCAUGCCGCGUGAAGGUCAGUGCCCUAUGGGCGUUAAACUUCUUUUGUGCGGGAGCAAUAAUGGUCACGUGUGGCCAGACGAGAGUACCGUACGAAUAAGCAUCGGCUAACUCCGUGCCAGCAGCCGCGGUAAUACGGGGGAUGCAAGCGUUAUCCGGGUUUAUUGGGUUUAAAGGGUGCGUAGGCUGUGAGGUAAGUCAGCGGUGAAAUGCCCCCGCUCAACGGGGUGAAGUGCCAUUGAUACUGGCUGGCUGGAGUGCGGAUGCGGUGGGAGGAAUGUGUGGUGUAGCGGUGAAAUGCAUAGAUAUCACACAGAACACCGAUUGCGAAGGCAUCUCACGAAUCCGCGAUUGACGCUGAUGCACGAAAGCGUGGGUAUCAAACAGGAUUAGAUACCCGGGUAGUC